CCCCUAGACGUUCUGGGCUGCACGCGCGCUACAAUAAUACGCACAGCGAGUAUCACCGAGCUCGAAAGGGCAAGGUAAACAAUAGAAAAGGUACUGUAAUGGUUAUAGAUCCUUGUAAUUAUUGAUCUUCAACGAGGAAUUCCUAGUAAGUAUGUGUCAUCAUCACGCACUGAUUACGUCCCUGCCCUUUGUACACACCGCCCGUCGCUCCUACCGAUUGAGCAAUCCGGUGAAUACUUCGGACCGGUUACUUGGUUGGUUCGCUAACCUUGUGACUGGAAAGUCGAGUGAACCUUAUUGCUUAGAGGAAGGAGAAGUCGUAACA
rnacentral:rRNA from 1 species